UAAUAGCUUUGGGUGUAUUCCAUCAGGUCCCAUUGACUUAUUUGUCUUUACUUUUGACAGUUGAAAUAGAACCUCUUCCUCUAAACUCACGUGUAAUAAAUGACUCAUUUGUCCUUUUUCUCAACUGAGGUCCCUUUCCUUCAUUUUCAUCUGUAAAUACAGAACAAAAAUAUUCAUUGAGGCAGUCAGCUAGACCUUUAUCCUCUUCUACAUACCUUCCUUCUUUUGUUUUUAAUCUAACUAAUCCUUGUUUUACUUUUCUUUUCUCAUUUAUGUAUCUAAAAAACAUUUUAUCCCCCUUUUUUACUGACUGUGCUAUUUUCUCUUCUGUGUGUGAUUUGAAGCUCUUAUAACUUGCUUAGCCUCUUUCUGCCUAAUCUUAUAGAUCAUUUUGUCUUCCUCACUCAUUUUUCAUAAUUCCUAAAUGUUAACUUUUUGUUUUUAACUAUUUUGGCCACAUCUGCGGAGUACCACAGUGGUUUCUUGAAUUUUUUGCUUUUACUGACAAGCCUAAUGCAAUUUUCUGUUGCCUUCAAUAGUGCAACUUUUAAAUAAUCCCAUUUCUCUUGGACUCCAUUUAAAUUGCUCCAGUCUGAUAAUGACUCCUCUACCCAUAUUCUAAUUUUAGAAAAGUCUGUUUUUCUAAAGUCUAAAACUUUUGUUUUUGUGUGGUGUGACUCAGUCACUGUUCUUAUAUUAAACCACACUGACUGAUGAUCACUGGAUCCUAAACUUUCACCUAUAGUAAUAUCUGAUACCAAAUCUCCAUUUGUUAACACUAAAUCUAGUAUGGCCUCUUUACGAGUUGGCUCCUCAACAACUUGUUUUAGAGACAAUCCCAGUAGGGAGUUUAGAAUAUGUGUGCUCCUGGCACAAGUAGCUAAUUUUGUUUUCCAAUUUACAUCAGGAAGAUUAAAGUCACCCAUGAUGAUAACUUCCCCCUUCAUUGUCAUUUUAGCUAUUUCCUCAACUAGUAGAUUAUCUAACUCUUCAAUUUGUCCUGGGGGCCUAUAAAUCACAUCUACAUGAGUUACUGUGUGAUUACCAAAUUCUAACGUAACCCAAACGGACUCUAUGUUUGCCUCACUUACUUUUAUUAGGCUAGAUUUUAUGCUAUCCUUCACAUACAAGGCCACCCCUCCCCCUUUCUUGCUUUCCCUAUCUUUCCUAUAUAAAGAGUACCCUGGUAUUGCUAUGUCCCAGUCAUUUUUCUCAUUGUACCAUGUCUCAGUAACAGCGACUAAAUCUACACUAUCAGUUGCCAUUAUUGCCACAAGUUCAUGGAUCUUAUUCCCUAAACUGCGAGCAUUUGUAGACAUGACUCUAAGCUUAUAAUUUUUAACACACUUGCUACAGGCACCUUCUGUCCUUGUUUUGGGGGACAAUUGGAUUGAUGUUUUAUCACCCUCUUGCCCCCCCCCCCAGUUUAAAUACAUCCUAGCAAAACCUCUGCACUGCUCACUGAGAACAUUUGUUCCCUUUUGAGAAAGAUGCAAACCAUCUUUUUUGUACAGCUUAUUUCCAUUCCAAACAGAGCUACCAUGAGAAGUAAAGCCAAAUCCUUGCUCCCGACACCAUUCACCAAGCCACAAAUUAAAGUCCCUAAUACGCAUCCGCCUGUCGUUCUGAGUGUUAUGCACAGGCAGAACUUCAGAGAAUGACAGUGUGGAAGCAACCUGCCGUAUAUCAUUGGCAAAAACACUAAAAACUUCCUUAACCUCUGAAACCUCAUUGCAAGCCAAGUCAUUUGUCCCUAGAUGGACAAGUACAUCCAAUUCCCCUUCCUGGUUUGCUUGCUUAACAAUAUUACAGAUACGUCUCCUGUCUCUGUGAGCAGUAGCUCCAGGAAGACACCUCACAAGACCACCAUUGUGCAUAAUGUAAUCCCCCAACAACAUUGUGCACCUCGUAUAAUGUAAUCCCCCAACAACAACUGCUUUCUAUUAGGCCUCACCAUAAUCUCCAAGCCGGUCUCCACAACACCACUAGCCUCAGUGCCCCUCUCCACAACACCACUAGCCUCAGUGCCUCUCUCCACAACACCACAAGCCUCAGUUCCUCUCUCCACAAUACCACUUGCCUCAGUGCCUCUCUCCACAAUACCACUAGCCUCAGUGCCUCUCUCCACAACACCAUUACACUCUGAAAGUGCAGAAAAUGAAUUAUGAAGAGCAACAGACUGUGCAAAAUGCCUUUUAUCCACAACUCUAAGUCUACCAGAUCCUACAGUAAUCCAUCUGCCAUUCCUUGUAUGUCUCUGCGGCAGUGGCUUUGCAGCAGUCCCAGUCUGAGUUUGUUCACCAGAUAAUUUACAAAUCUCAGACUUCAAAAAUACAAUCUCCUGCCGCAAGAUAGAGAACUGUCUACAGAUUAGACAAUCACCAAACCUCCAAAAAGUGGAACGUGAAACAAAUGCAUAGCAACUAUUACACUGAACUAAGUCUGCCAUUCCAAUGAGGAGAAUAAUUUAAAUCAAACAAAUCUUAACUUUUUAUUUAUCCUCCUGAAUACCUCAGAUUACCUCCAAGUUAUCUCCAGAAUAUCUCCAACUACACACUUAGAAACAGCACUCUCCAGAAUAUCUCCAAAUACACACUUAGAAACAGCACUCUCCAGAAUAUCUCCAACUACACACUUAGAAACAGCACUUAGAAGUAGCAACUAUGUGUGUGUAUGCAACAGUCUGUGUCUGUAUUCCGCAGUCUGUGCAUAGGCGUGCGCAUCCUAUUGCACCCUAAAGCACAAGCCCACGCCGCGUAUACAGUUGCAAGAAAAAGUAUGUGAACCCUUUGGAAUGAUAUGGAUUUCUGCACAAAUUGGUCAUAAAAUGUGAUCUGAUCAUCAUCUAAGUCACAACAAUAGACAAUCACAGUCUGCUUAAACUAAUAACACGCAAAGAAUGAAAUGUUGCCAUUUUUUUAUUGAACACACCAUGUAAACAUUCACAGUGCAGGUAGAAAAAGUAUGUGAACCCUUGGAUUUAAUAACUGGUUGAGCCUCCUUUGGGAGCAAUAACUUCAAUCAAACGUUUCCUGUAGUUGCAAAUCAGACGUGCACAACGGUCAGGAGUAAUUCUUGACCAUUCAAUCGGGUUGAGGUCAGGACUCUGACUGGGCCACUUCAGAAGGGGUAUUUUCUUCUGUUUAAGCCAUUCUGUUGUUGAUUUACUUCUAUGCUUUGGGUCAUUGUCCUGUUGCAACACCCAUCUUCUGUUGAGCUUCAGCUGGUAGACAGAUGGCCUUAAGUUCUCCUGCAAAAUGUCUUGAUAAACUUGGGAAUUAAUUUUUCCUUUGAUGAUAGCAAUCCGUCCAGGCCCUGACGCAUCUCGCGAGAGGAACCCGGCGGAGCUGCCGGCAAUAGCUCCCCGGAAACCUCUCCUACCUCCCUCCCUGCCUGUGGGUCAGUCGGGAGGGAUGCUGAGAGCAGAGCCGGUGCUCGGAUAGCGCCGGCUCUGCAUAAGCCAACAGGGGAGAUCCUGAGAUCUCCCCUGCCGGUCUCUAUACAUAAGCGUGCCGCAGGGAUUAGGGUGUGCCCAUGCACACCUGGCACAUCCCGUGCACACUCCUAUGUGUCUGUGUAUUUAUUUUGCAGUCUGUGUGUCUGUAUUCUGCAGUCUGCUGAAUACACACACACACAAACUGCUGAAUAAACAAACUGCUGAAUACACAGAAAAACUGCUGAAUACACACAGACAGACUGCUGCAUACACAAAGACAGAUGGCUGAAUACACACAUAUAGACAGCUAAAUACACACACAGACUGCUGAAUACCUACAGACUGCUGAACACACACUCAGAGGCUGCUGAAUACACUCACAUAGACAGCUGAUUACACAGACUGCUGAAUACAUACAGACUGCUGAACACACACACACACACUCACAGACUGCUGAAUACACACACAGACAUAUUGCAGAGAGGGGUGCAGUGUGUAUGUGCAGUGCAGUGAGUGCGGAGAGGGUGCAGUGUGGGUGGUGCAGUGUGUGUAUUUGGGGGUUCAGUGUGUGUAGGGGCUCAGUGUGUGCAGGGGGGCGUAUGUGUGUGGGGUUGCAGUGUGUGUGGGGUUUGUUUAGUGUGCGUAAGAGGUGCAGUGUGUGUGUUUGUGGAGAGGUGCAGUGUGUGUAUGGGUUCAGCGUGUGUGUGGGUGGGUGCAGUGUGUAUGUGUGAAGGGGUUCAGUGAAUGGGAAGUGCUGUUUGUAUGGGUUCAGUGUGUGUGUAGGAGUGCAGUGUGUGUAUGGAAGAGGUGCUGUGUGUGUGUGUGUGUGUGGAGGAGGGGCCUCAGCUUGAGUUUCUAUAUGCAUUAUCAAGCAGUAGCUGCUCUCCUGGGUUUUUAAGUAGGAGCUCCUUAAAAUAACAAAAUAAAAAAAAUUGUAGAUGUGCAUUAUUAACUUCAGAACAUUAUCAUCAAGAAGUAGUAAAAGACCUGAAGUAUAAGAGAAUCUCUGGGGACCCAACUUCAUACCCUGACUAUGCUUGAUCAUAUCGGAGUCUGAGUAAGUGCUGAGCCUGUGUGUGUGUGUAUAUGUAUGUGUGUGUGUGUGGGGGUACUAACCAGUGCAUACUGGGAACACCCCACAAGACUUGACAUUUUGGAGAUGUUCGGACCCAUUUGUCUAGCCAUCACUUUUUGAUCCUUGUCAAAGUCACUCUGAUCUUCCCCAUUUUUUUUUGAGGGGGGGGCGAUAAGGGAGAAAUAUAUGGGGGGGGGGCGAUAAGGGAGCAAUAUAUCAAAAAACAAACAAAAACAUUUUAUAUUACCCCCCUCCUUCUUACCUUUGGCCAGGGAGGGUGGGAGGGGGGGCAACUUUUCAAUCCCUGGGGCUCCUCUGGCUGCAGGCUGACUAUUCUCUCCUCCUGCGAGUACAGGGCUAUGUUGGAGCAGUGCCAUGGUAAUGCUUGGCAACAUUCCAACCUGCCUGCUCAUGGGAGGAGCCUUCUGCCUCCCCAGACCCGGCUCCAGACCUCCCUCUGCAGCAACAAACUGAUUUGGGCCCGGUGAGGGAGAUUUUUAAUCUCCCUCACCGGCCCAAGAAGGCAGAUCAUGGGGCAUUCAAAAACUGUUUAUGCAUCCUGAGAAAAUUUCUCGGGACGCUCGGUCAAAUCAGCAACAGCUGGGACUAUCUCGGUAAAACUGGCGGGACAUCUGGUCACUCUGCUCAUGCUGCCAGAACAGCUCUAAUGCAUUGAGAAAUGGACUCCUUAAGCCAUAUGUGAUAUCUGGCACCACGACAAUGUUUAAGUUCUGCAAGGUGGGGCAUCCUUGGAUCGGAUUUGUUGUUCCAGCACAUUACACGGAUCUCAGGAAUUUGGAGGCUAAGGUAAAAUGUGACAAAGUAACAUGAAUGCCAGGAUCCGAGGUUUCCAAGCAGAAUAUUGCCUAGAGCAUUACAUUGCCUCCGCCACCUUGCCUUCUUUCUAUAGUGCAUCAUGGGCACUCUGACCAGUAUGCAGCUGAGCAGUCACAUAUGCAGCAAACUGUGAUGCACCGUGUGUUCAAGCUUUCUUUCAUGACCAGCAUGAAGUUGAGCUGCAGUGGCCCUUCUGUGUGAUUGGUCCAGACAGCUAGCCUUUGCUCCCCAAAUGCAUCAAUAAACCUUGGGCACCCAUGACCCUGGAGCUGAUAUAAUAAUCAAUAUUAUUCACUUCACGUGUCAGUGGUUUUAUUAUUGUGGCUGAUCAGUUUAAUUGCAUAGGAUUUUCCUUUGCUUGCAGAAGGAAAUUACUUGAGGAUGGCAUAAUUGUAUUAAAUAUACUUUUCGUAAAGAGGGCAUGUUCAAGAAUUAAAUCUUCUCAGUUGCAUUUCAAAGAAAUAUGGGUUCUGAAGUCAGUUUAGCGCAUCCAUGCUGCUAGGAAUAAUUCAAAUCUUAAAGAGGCAGAAAGUGUUGAAUGUUCUAACUGGAUCUAAAAGACAAACUUUUUUAAAGAAUGUUUCUAUAAUAUGGUUUUCAAACCAUCCUUCUAAUAUUCUUUAUGUAUCCUUCACCCUUAUAAAUUUUGUGUAACUAAUAUUUUCUUUUCAAAUGAAGAAUUAAUGCCACGUGUCUUUUGCAUGUAAUGCUUUUUCCAACAUGCUGAUAGCUGAAUGUACUGUUCUUGAAUACUAAGAAUGCUAGGGUAUAUGCAAAGCAAGCACAUUCUAAGCCGCAACUGCCCAUAGUACACUGCGUUUUUGUUAUAGAUAAUGAAGUUUUGUCAUUGUUUCUCAUCAACUUUAAGCAAUGUUGUAAUUACUUGUUCAAUACUCCUUUCUGGAUGGAUGAAAGAUAUUGCCAAUAUAACAUCAAGGUACAUUAACAUCACAGCCUUAGAACUAAUGAUUUUUGGAGGGAUGAGAAUACUUUUGAGUCCAGAGCAUCUGUUUCUAAUAUAAGCAUUUGAAUCUUAAAGUUUAAGAAGGAUCAUCUAAUUAAAAGAUUUGUGGACAUUUCUGCAGUGUGCAAUUAACUUUAAUCAGUGGAAAAAAACGGGUAAGCAUAUACAUACGCGAGUUGGGAAGCUGAUAGUAAUGUUGAAGAAAAAAACAACAAAUUGGCAAUGUGCCAGUAAUAAUGAAUGAUAGCAUCAUCCCAUCUCUAAUUCAUAAUUAGCUGGUUAUUAAGGGUAGCUUGUGUGGCAUGCAUUGUGAGUGCUCAUGUCAGAUAAUUGUGAUUUAAAAACUUACUGGGAUAUGAAAUAAAAUCACAGGUAAAGUAAGGUCAGUUUGUGCUAAUAAAAACCCAGAGACAUAAAAAGCUGAUUAGCAAAUAUUGAAGCAUGUUUAUAUUUCAGUUUAACAUUUAAAACAUGUUAUUUAUAAAGACAGAUAUAAUUUCAGACAAUCAUUUCUACCUAUUAAAGUGUUACAUUGCUAUACAAGUUAUAAGAAUAAAAUACAACUCCUACAAUAACCACUUGCUGUAGUGUUUAUGUUGCAACUUGCAAGUAAUGCCCUCCCAUCCCCUAUUGUAAGUAGUCAAACUGUAUUAGACAUGUUACCUGGUGUCCUCUUGACACCUCUCUCCGCCUGCUUUACAGAUGCCUGAGAACUGGAAGUUCAUAAGCAGAAGCAGAAGCCAGUGUUCAUUUAAAGUUCUUCCUAGGACUUAGGUGAAGCACCUCUCCUAAGGAGCUCUCUAUCCAGAGCCAGCCGACAAUCCAAUGAAUCUUUGACUUAAAUAAUUUGGAACAAAGAAAUAUUUGGACACUUUAUAUAUCCUCACGGGUUUUACAGUCCUAGGUGUACACCACAUAAUCCUAAAUCCCCUAUGCCCAUCACUACUAAAUGUAACCUCUCCCAAGUCUAAACUUACAAUACUCUUUCGUCUACUGAUAUUCUCUAUUAACAUUGGUAUGCUAUUCUGAACAUUGACACAAGUUUUGUUACUUCGCUGUUUACAAAAAUCUAUUCAAGUUAGCAUAAAAUAAUGAAUAUGGGAUUAAAUUGCAGUCUCUCAACUUUAAUUUGAGGUCAUUCACAUCCAAAUUGGAGGAAGAGUUUAGGAGUUAGAGCUCUUUUUAGUCCUCUUUUUCAAGGGACUAAAAGGAAAUGGACCCUUGACUCAGAAGCUGUUUGAUGAACAGGCGUGGGCUAUUCCUUUGUUAUUUCUUCAUCAAUUAAUCAUGUAAAAGGUAUGGUGUUGACUCCAAGUGUGGCAUUUGCAUUUGGAAGCUAUUGCUGUAAACCCACAACUUGAGGAGCUCUCCUUAAACAAUUUUUAGGCUGCAAAAUAAAUAAAAUUAAAUAAGAAAGAUAGCAGGAACAAUAGUAGUGGCCAAAUCAAUGGUUUGGUACAUUCUGAGAAAAAAACACAAAACACUGGUGAGCUUUGCAAAGGCCUGGAUAUCCAUGGAAAACAACCGUGGUUAAUGAUCGUAGGAUUCUUUCCAUGGUUAAGGAAAUGCCCUUCACAACAUCCAAGCAAGUGAAGAACACUCUCCAGGAAAUACAUAUUUUUAUCCAAGUUUACCAUAAAGAGAAGACUAAGCGAAAGUAAAUACAGAGAGUUCACCACAAAGUGCAAACCAUUCAUAAGCCUUAAGAAUAGAAAGGCCAGAUUAGCCAAAAAAAAAACAUUAAAAAAAGCCAGCCCAGUUCAGGGAACAGCAUUCUUUGGACAGAUGAAACUGAGAUCAACCUGUACCAGAAUGAUGGGAAGAACAGAGUAAGGAGAAGGCUUGGAACGGCUCAUAACCAAAGCAUACCACAUCAUCUGUAAAACACGGUGGUGGCAUAGUGACAUGGGCAUGGCAUGGGCAUGCAUGGCUUUCAUUGACACUGCGUCACUAGUGUUUAUUGAUGAUGUGAUAGAAGACAGAAGCAGCCGGAUGAUUUCUGAAGUGUUGAUUGGAUGGUGCCUUACUUUUCAGAUGGACAAUGAUCCAAAACAUACUGCGAAAGCAACUCCGGGGAUUUUCAAGGGAAGGAAGUGGAAUAUACUGCAAUGGCCGAGUCAAUCACCUGAUUUCAACCUGAUCAAGCAUGCAUUUCCCUUUGCUGAAGACAAAACAUAAGGUAGAAAGCCAGCAAAGGAUUCUCAACAAAGUAUUAAAUAAUGUAAGAUUUUAAUUAUGAUUGUGUUAAUUUGUCCAAUUACAUUUGAGAACCUUAAAUAAGGGGACUGUGUAUGAAAAUGGUUGCAAUUCCUAAAUGAUUCAUACAAUAUUUUUUUUAACCCCCGGAAUUAAAGGUGAAAUUCUGCACUUGAAUUGCAUUUCGAUUGUUUAAUUUCAAAUACAUUAUGGAGGCACAGAGAGGCAAAAUUACGAAAAUAGUGUCAGUGUCCAAAUAUUUCCGGACCUAACUGUUAACGUACACACAGUCUCUGUUAUAUUGUGUACUCUCUUUAUGCCAGACUCCCUGAAUUAUCUCUCCCUCUUUACUAGUUAGUCCAUCCUCAUCCUGCUCUAUGUUAAUCAUCCCCUAUUAUUCCCUCCCUUUAUUUAUCACCCAUAUGUUCUCUCAUUCUAUUGCAAUCAUUCCCAGAGCCGAUCUUAGUGUCACAGACACCUGGAUGCAUAAACCUUUUGGCACACCAGGUGGGAAUGGCUUUUGAAGACACACAAGCGUCACAUAUCAAUAACUGUUAUUUAUUUAAAACAUUGCUUUCUAAUCAUUAAUGCGUAUUAUAAUAUAACUGAUUUUACAGCUUUCGGUGCUUUCUCAAUAGCAUGUAUUAUAAUAAAGCAGAUUUACACUACAACAACUUUUGUGUACAAUGAAAUUCACAUGUAUUAUGUGCUCUAAAGCUAUUCUUGUGAUCUCACAAACUAGCUAAUAAAAACACCUACAUGGGCCAUUUUCUGAGACUUGAGGCUUGUAGCAGGCUCAUUUUGUUUACAGCUGUGAUUGAUCAAUCAGGAUUUAAUGAGAUGAGUGCAGCAUAUUAUUAUUUUUAUGUUUUAUAAGUAUGUAAAUUUUAACAAUAUAAAGUUUAUGGUUUUUUUUUUAAUGUGAAACGGCAAGUUAAAGUUAAACAGGAACUCAUUUGAAUUUUUUUUUAUUUUUCUGAAAUAAUCUAUUACACUUUACAAAAUUCUUGUUCGGUUUUAGCAUGGGCAAUAUUUCAGCUGUUACAUUAUUGGCAUGCCACAUUUAUCUAGAAUGGUUUCUCCCUUCUUUGGAUUCCAGAAAUAAAAAGUAGAAAAAUGCUUCUUUUGACUGCACUUAUAAAACAAAGAAAGUACAUGCAAUAAAUUGUGAAGGAUUUUCAUUGCUAGUCACCUUUAAAGAAUGGAUUCUGCAAAUGGAAAAAGCAAGAAAGAUAACCUGACUCACUAGCUAAUAUAUGUGUUUAUAUUCCCAAGACAAGUAUGCCAUAAAAUCCACUUUAGCCUUGACUGUCACCCUGUAAUAUAUAUUUUGGAAAUAGAGCCAGUGAUGAUUUCUGCAUCAUCCUCUGGAUAUUUUGGAGGUAAAAUCAAUAUGUACCAAGAGCGUUUGAACAGAUAACGUGUAUCAAUGUGUCAGAAUUUGGCACAAGCUGUAAUGUAGGAACUGAAAUAUUAGAAAGGGGUAGUAUGAAAAAGAUACCACUUUUUGCCCUUUUCUAUUACCAUUACUAUUCAAUUUUGUAGUAAAUAGAAUAUAUAGAGUUGCUGAAAGAUUGAUAAUAAAAGUAUUUUAAAAUCAUCUUAACUUUUAUAGAGAAUAAUAUUUCCAGUUCUGCUAAAUAUCACGUUAUGAUCAUUAUCAGCAUUGAUGUAUUAUAUUUAUGUGAAGCAUGCUGCAAUGUUUUACUAUUUUACAAAGCAUAUCAAACAGAAUGACACACGCAUAAUCAUGUAUUUCCUAUUGAUAGGGUGGUGUGGCACUCAGGGUUAUCACUAGUUGUAGACCAGGAAUAGGCAACCUUCGGCACUCCAGGUNNNNNNNNNNNNNNNNNNNNNNNNNNNNNNNNNNNNNNNNNNNNNNNNNNNNNNNNNNNNNNNNNNNNNNNNNNNNNNNNNNNNNNNNNNNNNNNNNNNNAAACAUGGAGUAAAGUCUGGCAAGGGCACCACUUAUUGACUAGAGCGGUCAGCUGAUGCUCUAAGGCAAACAGUAGCUCCACAUUCAUAAAGAUGGUAUGUACCUUUUUUUAGGAAUGGGGAACUACUGACUGCUUUAGCAAAUCCGUCACUGGAAGCAACCUAUUGCAUUAAACCAUUUGAGCGCAUGGGGGCCUCCUGGUACCAUAACUACUUAAUUUAUAGGACCCAAGUGUUCUUUUAAUUAUUUAGGGUUUUAAGGUUAAUCUAAUAAGACUAUUUAUCAUAUUGGUAUCUCCUAAGGUGACUAGCUUAUCUCAAGAAGCUCUGAUGAGAUCAAGCAUCUUCUCAUUGAACAAUAAUGAGUUCUUGGCAGUAGGUAUAGAAAAAUAUACAAUAUCACUCAGAUCCCUUGGUUGGUUCGGGAACACAAUUCGAAUUAAGUUUUGACCAGUCAGCCACGAGGUGAUGUCCCAAAACAGUUCCAGAGAAAACAAGGCAAGGAGUGGUCAUCUUUCGGGGGUACUCACACGAACACAGAUGAAUCUAUCGCGUGGGUGUUCGGGUACAAAUGCUCCCCCUGUUCGGUAGUUUAUUCCUCCCGAACACCAUUCUCCUAACUGUUCGGGAAGUUGGAUGGGCAGCGGUCCUUGUUUCCCGGGUGUUCGUGGGAUUGUGUAUCUGAAAACAAAUCCCCGCUGUCGACUACCAUGUACCGAUCCCAGCGUUGGGGAGACAAAAUGACCGCUAAUUGUUUGAACACGUGCAUUUGGUUUUACGAACGGUGGCCACACAGGGGAACACUUGAACUAAUAACAAAUUUAUGGUUAACACCCAGGGGCGGUUAGUUUUUAAAAGUUGCGAUGUGUAUAUAUUCAGCAGUCUUCAGCAGUCUUUGUGUAUGUGUAUUCAGCAGCCUAUAGAAACAUAGAAACAUAGAAUGUGACGGCAGAUUCGGCCCAUCUAGUCUGCCCAAUUUUCUAAAUACUUUCAUUAGUCCCUAGCCUUUUCUUAUAGUUAGGAUAGCCUUAUGCCUAUCCCACGCAUGCUUAAACUCCUUACAGUGUUAACCUCUACCACUUCAGCUGGAAGGUUAUUCCAUGCAUCCACUACCCUCUCAAUAAAGUAAUACUUCCUGAUAUUAUUUUUAAACCUUUGUCCCUCUAAUUUAAGACUAUGUCCUCUUGUUGUGGUAGUUUUUCUUCUUUUAAAUAUAGUCUCCUCCUUUUACUGUAUUUGAUUCCCUUUAUGUAUUUAAAUGUUUCUAUCACUUAUCCCCCUAUUUCUAUCGCAUAUCUUAGUAUCAUCAGCAAAAGACAUACCUUACCAUCAAGACCUUCUGCAAUAUCACUAAUAAAAAUAUUAAAGAGAAUGGGUCCAAGUACAGAUCCCUGAGGUACCCCACUGGUGACAAGUCCAAGCUUCGAAUAUAUUCCAUUAACUAAAACCCUCUGUUGCCUGUCACUCAAGCCUUCAAUGUGCAACAGUGUCAAAAGCCUUACUGAAAUCUAGGUAAGCAAUGUCUACUGCACCACCCUGAUCUAUAAUUUUAGCUACCCAAUCAAAAAAAUCAAUAAGAUUAGUUUGGCAUGAUCUCCCUGAAGUAAACCCAUGUUGUCUCUGAUCUUGAAAUACAUGUGUUUUUAGAUGUUCAACAAUCCUAUCCUUUAACAUGGUUUCCAUCACUUUCCCCACUACUGAAGUAAGGCUUACUGGCCUAUAGUUGCCCGACUCCUCCCUAUUACCUUUCUUGUAAAUGGGCACAACAUUCGCUAACUUCCAAUCUUCUGGGACUACUCCUGUUAACAAUGAUUGGUUAAAUAAAUCUGUUAAUGGUUUUGCUAGUACACCACUAAGCUCUUUUAAUAGCUUUGGGUGUAUUCCAUCAGGUCCCAUUGACUUAUUUGUCUUUACUUUUGACAGUUGAAAUAGAACCUCUUCCUCUGUAAACUCACGUGUAAUAAAUGACUCAUUUAUCCUUUUUCUCAGCUGAGGUCCCUUUCCUUCAUUUUCAUCUGUAAAUACAGAACAAAAAUAUUAAUUGAGGCAGUCAGCUAGACCUUUAUCCUCUUCUACAUACCUUCCUUCUUUUGUUUUUAAUCUAACUAAUCCUUGUUUUACUUUUCUUUUCUCAUUUAUGUAUCUAAAAAAUGUUUUAUCCCCCUUUUUUACUGACUGUGCUAUUUUCUCUUCUGUGUGUGAUUUGGAAGCUCUUAUAACUUGCUUAGCCUCUUUCUGC
rnacentral:lncRNA from 1 species